UAGUCAGGUACCGUCAUUUUCUUCCCUGCUGAUAGAGCUUUACAUACCGAAAUACUUCAUCGCUCACGCGGCGUCGCUGCAUCAGGGUUUCCCCCAUUGUGCA
rnacentral:rRNA from 1 species